CAGCUCAGAGCUGGAAGGGGAGGUGAGGGAGGGAGUGUGACUUCCUCUGAAGCCCUGGUACUCGGCACAGUGGCACUGGCAGGGGCUGGCCCCCAGCUCUUGGCUCUCCACCAGUUCUCCUGGUGGCUCUAACGGCAGCGCCGACACCUGAGCCGCUGCUCGGGCAGGUGCUGCAGCAGUUUAACGUUCGGUCUGGGGGCAAACCCGGGGAGGGAGGCAGUGCCAGUGCCCAGCUCAUGCCCUGCUCUGGGCAGGGAUACCAGCCAGCCAGGAAAACCCCAGAGCUGACCUGGAAACCAUUCACAGGGCUGCGGUUUCGGCAGCUGCUGGCCCCGGGCUCUGCCGCAGUCAGGUGCUCAGAACCGCACGGUGCCAGCAGGAGCGGAGAGGAGCCGACAUCAAGGGGCUCACCUGCAAAGGAAGGGGCUCCCAACCGAAGCAGCGCUGGCGUGGUCGGCUUGUGGCCACCCAGCCCUCCCUGCCAGCACCAAACUCGGGCCCAAGCUUGGUUCUGCACCUGCUGAAGAUCCAGAGGCUCCUCCCAGGUCCUCGUUUGCUUCUCAGCCAAACGGUGACAGGAACUGUCAGUCUCCUCCAUCUGUGGGUCCUGGGGAAAGAGCGCUGAAGUCACAGAAUCCUGGAAUCCCUGAGCUGGAAAAGCUCUGCAGGAUCAUUGAGUCCAACCUGUGCUCAAAUCCUCACCUUGUCACCCAGCCCAGAGCACCGAGUGCCACGUCCCAUCCUUCCUUGGAUCCAGGGAUGGGCACUCCAAACCUCCCUGGGCAGCCCCUUCUAAUGCCUGACCACCUUUUCCAUGGAGAAAUUCAUCCUCAGAGUGCAGGCAGAGCUCAGCAAGGCUGUGCCUCCUGCCCUCCUGUGGGUCUCUAAGCCCAGAAGAUUUUCCUAAAGGGAGAGGAGAGCUGGGACCGCCCUUGAGAAACUCUGGCUCUGUGCAAACACAUUUGAAACCCAGAACUUCUUUUCCAUCCCAAGUUUGCAGCAGCCUGUGGGGAUUUAUCGCCUUGUUUUGCUGCUCCUUCUCAAUCCCACGUGCAGGCAGGAGAGGGAGAAUGUGGGGAGAGAAUCUGAUUCACUGUGCAAAUCCCCACUUGGGAGAAGGAGUUUGAUUUACCAAGGCCAGAGGUAGUAAAGAGCUUGGACAGGAAUUUGCAUUAAACCUUUGACACACAAGACAUUUCCCUUUCAGCCAAGACAAACAAAGGAAGGAAGUGUCUGGGACUUUUAAAGCGACCUAGUGGAGACAGAGCUUCUGAGAGUUCUCUGUGCCUGAGGCUGGGUUUUGAGGCUCAUCAGCUCUCCAGCAGAGCCUCCUGCCAGACCCAGACCCAUCCCCAUGAUUUAUCAGCAUCAUCCUCCAAGGGCAACAACCAGAAUCCGUUCCCUAAGUGUUGAAGGCAGGAGUUUGUAAUGGGAAUAAAGGAGCUGGAGCUGUUCCUGUGAAAGGGAGAA